rnacentral:rRNA from 1 species
GACGAACGCUGGCGGCGUGCCUAAUACAUGCAAGUCGAACGCACUCUCGUUUAGAUUGAAGGAGCUUGCUCCUGAUUGAUAAACAUUUGAGUGAGUGGCGGACGGGUGAGUAACACGUGGGUAACCUGCCCUAAAGUGGGGGAUAACAUUUGGAAACAGAUGCUAAUACCGCAUAAAACCUAACACCGCAUGGUGUAGGGUUGAAAGAUGGUUUCGGCUAUCACUUUAGGAUGGACCCGCGGUGCAUUAGUUAGUUGGUGAGGUAAAGGCUCACCAAGACCGUGAUGCAUAGCCGACCUGAGAGGGUAAUCGGCCACACUGGGACUGAGACACGGCCCAGACUCCUACGGGAGGCAGCAGUAGGGAAUCUUCCACAAUGGACGAAAGUCUGAUGGAGCAACGCGCGUGAGUGAAGAAGGUUUUCGGAUCGUAAAACUCUGUUGUUGGAGAAGAAUGUAUCUGAUAGUAACUGAUCAGGUAGUGACGGUAUCCAACCAG